GAGUUUGAUCCUGGCUCAGGACGAACGCUGGCGGCGCGCCUAACACAUGCAAGUCGAACGAGAGAGAAGGAGCUUGCUUCUUCGAUCGAGUGGCGAACGGGUGAGUAACGCGUGAGGAACCUGCCUCAAAGAGGGGGACAACAGUUGGAAACGACUGCUAAUACCGCAUAAGCCCACGGGUCGGCAUCGACCUGAGGGAAAAGGAGUGAUCCGCUUUGAGAUGGCCUCGCGUCCGAUUAGCUAGUUGGUGGGGUAACGGCUCACCAAGGCGACGAUACAUAGGGGGACUGAGAGGUUAACCCCCCACACUGGUACUGAGACACGGUCCAGGCUCCUACGGGAGGCAGCAGUGGGGAAUAUUGGGCAAUGGGCGCAAGCCUGACCCAGCAACGCCGCGUGAGGGAAGAAGGCUUUCGGGUUGUAAACCUCUGUCCUUGGUGACGAAGGAAGUGACGGUAGCCAAGGAGGAAGCCCCGGCUAACUACGUGCCAGCCGCCGCGGUAAUUC
rnacentral:rRNA from 1 species